rnacentral:rRNA from 1 species
GACGAACGCUGGCGGCGUGCUUAACACAUGCAAGUCGAACGGAAAGGCCCUGCUUUUGUGGGGUGCUCGAUUGGCGAACGGGUGAGUAACACGUGAGUAACCUGCCCUUGACUUUGUGAUAACUUCAGGAAACUGGGGCUAAUACCGGAUAGGAGCUCCUGCUGCAUGGUGGGGGUUGGAAAGUUUCGGCGGUUGGGGCUGGACUCGCGGCUUAUCAGCUUGUUGGUGGGGUAGUGGCUUACCAAGGCUUUGACGGGUAGCCGGCCUGAGAGGGUUACCGGCCACAUUGGGACUGAGAUACGGACCAGAAUCGUACGGGCGGCAGCAGUGGGGAAUAUUGCACAAUGGGCGGAAGCCUGAUGCAGCAGCGCCGCGUGCGGGAUGCCGGCCUUCGGGUUGUAAACCGCUUUCGCAUGUGACGAAGAGUGAGUGACGGUAAUGGGUAAAGAAGCACCGGCUAACUACGUG